CUGGACCCCAGGGACAAGUCCACGCCAGCACUCCAGGUAGGAGGCUGGGUGGACAUUUUUUUUUAAUUAAAAUGUAAUAAUUUGUUCUUAUGUGUGAGUGUGUCUGUGUGAGUGAGUGUGUGUGUGUCUGUGUGAGUGAGUGUGUCAGUGAGUGUGUGUGUCUGUGUGAGUGUGUGUGUGUGUCUGUGUGAGUGAGUGUGUCAGUGAGUGUGUGUGUGUGUCUGUGUG
rnacentral:lncRNA from 1 species